AUUUCAUUGCUGAUAUCACCCAGUAUGGCAUGUCAUCUGAAGACAAGAGGAAUCAGAGUGAUCAGUCAGUUAUUGAGAUUUAUCUUAUCAACUCAAAUGCGACAGUAUCCACUCCUUACCGUGGCGAUGACAACGCAAGUGGAUCACCGUGACGGUGUUAUAAGAAGAAAACAGGGACCAAAAAAAAUGUGUGUUGGUGGUCAACGGUGCUCAGGACAGGGGAGGAUAUUCGUUCGAAGACGGGAGGCUUGAUGAGGAACGCAAAUGACGUCAACUCAAAGAACCGUCUGAGAUCGAUUGGUGGAGCAUGAGCGACAUCCGCUGGCAUAUAAGAGUCACUGCAAGCUUAACGGUCAUUGGUGGUUUCGCAGCUGAGUGUGACGCGGCUGGGAUGACAAUCAGCAACUCCAAAUCUGAAACCAGAGUCCUCAAUCGGAAAAUGGUGG